rnacentral:lncRNA from 1 species
CACUUUGGGGAUGUCUAUGUCUGUCUUAGUGUGGUGGGUGGUAAGAUGCGUUAAUGAACGAGCUGUGCUAAUGACUAGGUUACUGUGGAAAUAUUUCUGAGGGGUGGAGAGGGUGACUCUCAGGAUAACCUGCACUGUAUUUCAUAUUUUGGAAGUAGUGAGAGCUGAGAAGAAAGCAGACAGUAGUAAGGUGCUACGUAGAGCCAGGCAAUGUUCCAUGCGCACCAGCUAUUCUGCUGGCGCAUGCGUGUGUCUCUCAUCUCUGCAACAGGAAGUUUUGCUGGGUCCAGCAUGUUGGCUCAUGCCUGAAAUUCUAGCACUCGGGAGGCGGAGGCAGGAGUAUGGCCAUGAAUUCAAGG